rnacentral:lncRNA from 1 species
AUAAAAUAUUAGAUUAAUUGCAUAUACAUCCCUACGAACAUGAUGAAUUGCAUAUAUAUUUUUGUAAAGCUCAACUUUCAUAAGUUAUUCCUACAAAAGUUAUAAUGUAUUCAGAUAUAUCACUGCCGUUAGGGUCCGUUAUAAAAAUUUCGUUAACCACAGUUAAAAUACUUAACUAUGGUAAAUUAAUAAUAUGAAUUGAUAAUUUUGCCCUUCUUCCCUUUCCUCUUCCUCUCCUGCUUCUUCUUCUUCCUCUUCUUCUCCAUAUCCUCCUUUUCCUCCUCCUUUUCUCCUCCUUCUUCUUCUUUUUCAUCGUCGUCGUCGAUAAUCCGAUCGUCAUCGUCGUCAUCGUGGUGCCCGCAUGGGUCGUCGUCACGGGCGCCUCCGACGACAUCGGCCGCGCCUUCGCCUUCCGCCUCUUCCUCGCCCUCGUUGGCCGCAACCCCGACAAGCUCCGCAAGGUCACCGUCGCUGUCGCCGCCAUCCGCUCCCGCAGCCUGAAGAGGAAGAGGAAGAGGAAGAGCGCAAGAGCAAAAUUAUCAUUUCACACCUCUACUGUUAAAAAAUUAAUAACUCUCUAACGGAUCCUAACCACAGAGAUAUAUCUGAAUACAUUAGGGGAGUGUUUGGUUCGCUUCUUUUUCACUCUGGAAUACGAGCGCAAGAGGGAGUGUUUGGUUCGCUUCUUUUUCACUCUGGAAUCGAAAUCGGAAUGGGCGAAUCCGUUUGUGGGUGUUUGGUACGCAGGAGUUCCAUUCCGAUUCCGAUUCCUAAGUGGAAUGAGAAUCCCGAAUCACCUUUUUUCUAAUCCGGCCUAGGAGGCCGGAUUGGAAGUUGAAUCCGGAUAAAAUAGAUAUUUAUUCGGAUUAAAUUUAUUUUUUCAAAUUUUUUAAUUAAAAUAUGAGUUUAAAUUUAGAAUUUUAAUUUUAAAUUUAAAUUUGAACUUGAAAUAAAAAUUAAAAUUUAAUCAAGUAUUUAGAAUCUAAUUUAUAAAUUUGAAUUUAAAUUAAAUUUUAAUUUAUAUAAAGUUUUAUUCAAAUUUUAUUUAAAACUUAAAUUUAAUUUCUGGAUUCAAAUUAAAAUUUAAAUUGUAAUUUUAAGUUUGAAUUUGAAUAAAUCGAAAUUUAGUUUUAUAUUUUGAAUUAUCUACUCAACUUCAAAGUUUAAUUUUUUUAAAAAAAAUAGAUUAAAAAUUUUGACAUUAUUUCAAAAUUUUGAUGUAAAUUUUUAAUAUUUAAUUUUUAAUUUAAAUUUAAAUUAAUAUAUUAUAAAAAUAAAGUUAAUAUAUUAAUCUGAUUACGUUUUUUAUAUUUAUCUGAACCAAACACCGACAAUGGGAAUGAUUUAUUCCGUUUCUGAUUCAGGUGAUGAACUAAAUAGAAUUAGAUAAUGAGUCAUUCCGAUUCCGAUUCCAGCUUAUUUCUAUUCCGAUUCUGAUUCCGAUUCGGACUUCGAACCAAACACGCAGGACUUUUACAGGAAUAACUUAUGAAAGUUGAGCUUUAUAGAAAUUUAUCUGUAAUUCAUCAUAUUUGCAAGAACGAAUAUGCAAUUAACCCUAAAAUAUAUAUAUAUCCAAAUGCAGCUUUCAACUAUAUAUAUUAAAAAAAUUAUGCGAUUACUUUAUUUUUAAUUGAAUACCGCAAAACAGAUAUACAUAAU